AACGAACGCUGGCGGCGUGGAUAAGACAUGCAAGUCGAACGAGACAGAGUUUGUAGCAAUACAAAUUCUGUUUAGUGGCGCACGGGUGCGUAACACGUGAGUAAUCUGCCGGGAAGUGGGGGAUAGCUCGCCGAAAGGCGAAUUAAUACCGCAUGUGACCAGGGAUGGAAUCAUUCCAAAGUCAAAGUAGCAAUACGCUUCCUGAUGAACUCGCGGCCUAUCAGCUAGAUGGCGGGGUAACGGCCCACCAUGGCGAUGACGGGUAGCUGGUCUGAGAGGACGACCAGCCACACUGGAACUGAGACACGGUCCAGACACCUACGGGUGGCAGCAGUCGAGAAUUUUUCACAAUGGGGGAAACCCUGAUGGAGCGACGCCGCGUGGAGGACGAAGGCCUUCGGGUUGUAAACUCCUGUCAUGCGGGAACAAGAAAGUGAUAGUACCGCAAGAGGAAGGGACGGCUAACUCUGUGCCAGCAGCCGCCGUAAAAC
rnacentral:rRNA from 1 species